CAGUAGCCGCGGGAAUACGAAGGUCCCGAGCGUUGUUCGGAAUCACUGGGCGUAAAGGGAGCGUAGGCGGCGUGGUAAGUCAGAUGUGAAAUCCCGGGGCUCAACCUGGGAAUGGCAGUGGAUACUGGCUCGCUAGAGUGUGUCAGAGGAUGGUGGAAUUCCCGGUGUAGCGGUGAAAUGCGUAGAGAUCGGGAGGAACAUCAGUGGCGAAGGCGGCCAUCUGGGACAACACUGACGCUGAGGCACGAAAGCGUGGAGAGCAAACAGGAUUAGAUACCCCGGUAGUCCCUGUCUCUUAUAC
rnacentral:rRNA from 1 species